rnacentral:rRNA from 1 species
AUGGUAAUUGCGAGGGUGCACACUGAUAGACCCUUCAGCCGUGGUGCUUUCUAUGAUCAGAUGCGUAUAGCAUGGAGCUUGGCACAAGGUGCGACGUUUACUGCGGUUGGUGAGAAUCUAUUCACUAUCACGGUGAAUUGUCUGGAGGACUGGAAACGAGUUACAGAGGAGGGCCCUUGGCUCUUCCGUGAUCAUGGUGUUCUAAUUGAAAGCUAUGAUGGUUUUACCAAUUUUGGUGAAGUCGUCCUUAAUAGGCUCUCAGUCUAGAUCCAAAUAGUUGAUCUCCCUCCACUGUACAGGAAGGAUGCGAUCAUUAGAUCCCUGGCAAAGAAGGUAGGGAAGGUUACUAGCGUGAUGUUAAACCCUAGAUGGGGCAAUGGCAGAAUUGUUCGGGUACGAGUUCAGUUGGAUGUUGAUCAGCCUCUUUUGCAUUUUGUUUCCAUCACCAAAAAUCAGAAGAAGGUUUACUACUCGGUUCUUUAUGAGAAAAUACGAGUGUUUUGUUAUGUAUGUGGAUGCAUGGGUCACCCACACUUAGAGCACGGCAACGGAAAGCAUGAACCUGAGAGUAUGGAGUGGGGUGAGUGGAUGCUGGCGCCAAGGCCUGGUAUGCAAGUUCAACGCGAUCAUGGGAGCGACAAAGGACUGAAAGAAGUUGAUAUGAAUAGAAACCUGAAAAAACAUGAAGGAUGGAUUGGUUGA